GUUCAGCUUAAGAGAGGGUAUUGCAAGCUGCAACCAACGAUUGAAAAUAUUUAAACGACAGCCAUCUUCCUCUUGUUAGCGGCGGCAGCAGCCUUGACUGUCUUCUCUUCAGGACCAGUGUAGAAC